UUUAACUGAGCGUUCAGUUACUUGACGUAGACCCGAAACCGGGCGACCUACCCAUGAGCAGGAUGAAGCGAAAGUAAAAUUUCGUGGAGGUCCGAACCCACGAGCGUUGAAAAGCUCGGGGAUGACUUGUGGGUAGCGGUGAAAUUCCAAUCGAGCCCGGAGAUAGCUGGUUCUCCCCGAAAUAGCUUUAGGGCUAGCCUCAAGGUGAGAGAUACGGAGGUAGAGCACUGAAUGUCCUAGGGGGUAUUGCACCUACCGAAGACUAUCAAACUCCGAAUGCCGUCAUCUUAUACUUGGGAGUCAGACUGUGGGUGAUAAGAUUCAUAGUCGAAAGGGCAACAGCCCAGAUCGUCAGCUAAGGUCCCUAAAUGUAAGUUAAGUGGUAAAGGAUGUGGGAUUGCACAGACAACCAGGAUGUUGGCUUAGAAGCAGCCACUCAUUCAAAGAGUGCGUAAUAGCUCACUGGUCGAGUGAUCCUGCGCCGAAGAUUUCCGGGGCUAAAACUUACUACCGAAGCUACGGCAUCAGUAAUGAUGGGUAGGGGAGCUUCCCAUACGGGUUGAAGCAUGACCGUAAGGACAUGUGGACAGUAUGGGAGUGAGAAUGUUGGCAUGAGUAGCGAGAUGUGGGUGAGAAUCCCACAGGCCGUAAACCCAAGGUUUCCAGGGGAAGGUUCGUCCGCCCUGGGUUAGUCGGGACCUAAGCUGAGGCCGAAAGGCGUAGGUGAUGGACAACAGGUUGAUAU
rnacentral:rRNA from 1 species